rnacentral:lncRNA from 1 species
GAAUGUAUAGAGACUUAUGUUGAAAUAAUCUUGAGUGAUUGUUGUAUAGGCUUCGAUUCAUCAUUCUUGAGUGAAUGUUGUACGGUUUAUGAGGCUUAAUUUUGGGGGAAAUCUUGUGUGAUUUCGGCUGAGUGCUACGAAGAUUGUACCGGACAGAUUUUGGUUCCAUUGAUAUAGUGAUUUCUUCCGUUUGACGGAAGCUCAAAAG